GACGAACGCUGGCGGCGUGUCUAACACAUGCAAGUCGAGCGGGCGGUUACGAGGCGUGUAGAGAUACAGCCGAGUGGCUGUUAGCGGCGAACGGGUGAGUAACACGUGGGCAAUCUGCCCUCCGGGUCGGGAUAACAGACCGAAAGGCCUGCUAAUACCGAAUGAGGCGGCGACCUCGCAUGGGGAUGGCCGUCAAAGGGGAAACCCGCCGGGGGAGGAGCCCGCGUCCCAUUAGCUAGUUGGUGAUGUAACGGACCACCAAGGCGAUGAUGGGUAGCCGGCCUGAGAGGGUGAACGGCCACAUUGGGACUGAGACACGGCCCAGACUCCUACGGGGGGCAGCAGUGAGGGAUUUUCGGCAAUGGGACGAAAGCCUGACCGAGCGACGCCGCGUGAGCGAAGAAGGCCUUCGGGUCGUAAAGCUCUGUCUAGGGGAAGAGGAAGGACGGUAACCCCGUGGAGGAAGCCACGGCGUAAACUACGUGCCAAGCAGCCGCGGUAAACUGUAGUCGU
rnacentral:rRNA from 1 species